ensembl:snoRNA
AGCCUUUGUGUUGCCAGUUCACUUUUGAAAACUAAUGAAUGUGGUGUCAAAAAAGGUGGAAGCUUUACUGCCUUUUCCUGCCCUUGAAUUUGAAUUUGAAUUUGAAUAUUGUUGGUGUAGGAGCUGCGUGAAGUAAGAGUU